GCGAUCUACCGGAGAAAGUGUUCAGCGCGACACAGCUCCCACUGUUGGUUCCGACGUCGGGCACGGCGUUUGGUACGCGAGGCACACACAGCUCGAGGAGUCGGCAUUCUGACGUGCGCUCUGUCGGCAUAUUCCACCGAAUUAUCAAACGACAUAACAUCAUAAACAAAGCAGAACGUACAGAACUGAGAGUUGGAACGGCUUGUUCCUGAUUUUUUUCCGCCGCUUCAGUGAGCAGCGGACAUGGCUUGCGCUGCCAUCUGCCGAGUGGUGGCGGUACUGGUCCUUACUGAUGC